GGGGGGAUAACGUAGCGAAAGUUACGCUAAUACCGCAUACGAUCUAAGGAUGAAAGUGGGGGGAUCGCAAGACUCAUGCUCCUGGAGCGGCCGAUAUCUGAUUAGCUAGUUGGUGAGGUAAAGGCUCACCAAGGCGACGAUCAGUAGCUGGUCUGAGAGGACGACCAGCCACACUGGAACUGAGACACGGUCCAGACUCCUACGGGAGGCAGCAGUGGGGAAUUUUGGACAAUGGGCGCAAGCCUGAUCCAGCAAUGCCGCGUGAGUGAAGAAGGCCUUCGGGUUGUAAAGCUCUUUUGUCAGGGAAGAAACGGUGGGAGCUAAUACCUCCUACUAAUGACGGUACCUGAAGAAUAAGCACCGGCUAACUACGUGCCAGCAGCCGCGGUAAUACGUAGGGUGCAAGCGUUAAUCGGAAUUACUGGGCGUAAAGCGUGCGCAGGCGGUUUUGUAAGUCUGACGUGAAAGCCCCGGGCUCAACCUGGGAAUUGCGUUGGAGACUGCAAGGCUUGAAUCUGGCAGAGGGGGGUAGAAUUCCACGUGUAGCAGUGAAAUGCGUAGAGAUGUGGGGGAACACCGAUGGCGAAGGCAGCCCCCUGGGUCAAGAUUGACGCUCAUGCACGAAAGCGUGGGGAGCAAACAGG
rnacentral:rRNA from 1 species